ACACCUCAACUCUCAUGGUUUGCCAUGCUGAGUUUGGACUCUGGGGGUCUUGCUGGCCUAUGGUGGUCAGCUCCUCUCAAAUAGAUCAGCUUGCCAGUGUUUGGUGGUGAUGCAGGUGUGAUAACUAUCUACGCUUGUGGCUCUCCACCAGGUAACUUUCAGUCAUGGAAGUUCGCUGGAGCUAAUAAAUGUCUCUCCUCAGUGGAGACAGCUCUUUGAAU
rnacentral:misc_RNA from 1 species